UUGUAAUGUGGGUUUGUAAAUGUUGCUUGCUUGCUUUUUGCAUGCUUUUUGUAACUCGAAUUUUACUUGGCUACAUAAUAUGUAACUUGAUUGAAUAAUUAAUAGGCAAUAUUUGUAAUUAAGCUUAGUAAAUAAAAAAAAUAUAAGACAAAUAACGGUUGGAGUUAAUACAUACACCUUCACUGUACAAGGAGGUUGUGGAAUCUGAUAGUUGUCGGAAUCAGAACUCAAACCAAUAAAAACUUCUGCUAUCUGAUGUAACAAAUCCCUGAUAUUUUUGGUUUGAUGUGCGAAAUUAGAAAUUCUAUUGGUUUGCGGUGACAUAGACACCAAUUUUAUCAGUUUUACUAUUAGAAACAAACCAAGCGACUAAUGGCUGACAGAUCUGAAAUACCACGUUUAAAUUGAAUUCGAUUUGCCUUUAAAACACUUUGAAAUUAAAAUAAAAUGAUAAAACAUUAAAUACAAACGCUAAAUGAUAUUAUUAUUGAAUUGAACACAAAUUAUUGAAUAUGUACAAUUAAAUAUGUACAUUUUUACAUAAAUGGACCAGUAUGAUGUGAGCGUUAAGAUACAAAUGUUUUGGUAGCGAACAUUUGUUGUGAACGAGCCUUAAUUUAAAUUUUUAUUUUGUGGUUGGCAUGACAUCUAUCAAACAUAUUCAAUAACACUACAGCCAUUGAAUAAACAUCAUAUUUUUUCAUUGUAUUGAAAAUGUCAAAUUUUGUACCGGAAGAUGAUGAUUUUUUAUUUUUAUCAAUUGGCUGUAAUUUUGUGUUUAAUAUUUAUAAAAUUCAAUGAAAUUGGAUAAAUAGUGGCACAGAUGCUGUCAAUUAUGGUGCUGCUUAUAUUUGAAAUGUUGAAAAUCCAAUCAGCUGCUGUGACACCAUUGAAAAUCAACAUUAGUUUGUCAUACUGCCAAUUAAAUAGAUCUCAACAACCCUGAUUAUCGCCGAUUAAGCAUAAAAGCUCAGUAGUAGUAGUACAAUAAGCUAUAAUAUACUAUGUAUUUACAACUUGUGCUAUGUUUUUAAUUUGUUUUAAGUCUUGAAACAAUAUUUAAAAAAACAAGUAAGGAAAGGCUAAGUUCGGGUGCAACCGAAAAUUUUAUACUCUCGCAAUUUGUUGCUAUAUUUUUAUUAUGAAAACAUACAAUUUGACCCAUAUAUUCGGCAUAAAUAUAUUUCACUUAUUAACCGAUUUAUAAGCUACUAAGCUCAUCGUAUUAUUGAAAAUAAUUAGGUAUUCUCAUAUAUUCAUAUAUAAGGGAAGUUAUGACCCGAUUUUAACCUUUUCUGGUACAGACACACACUAUUAGAAGACAAAUAUUUCCUCUGAAUUAAAUUAAGAUACCUGAGAGAUUGACCGAAAUUUUCGGUGAAAAAUUACCAUGGGGCACUCAGUUCUUCAUAUUCGAUACCCGGGGCAUUGAAAAGUUAUAGUCUGAUUUGGACAAUUUUUUCACAAGUGAUGCCACAUAUCAUAUACAGUAUUUGUGUAAAGUUUUAUUUCGCUAUCUUCAUUGGUGCCUUAUGUAUAUAUUAUAAAGUGAAGGAAUAAGAUGAAAUUCAAAAUUGAGCUAUAUGGGAAGUAGGCGUAGUUGUGAACCGAUUUCGCCCACCAGUGUCAUCAGGGUGUCAAGAAAAUAUUAUAUACCGAAUUUCAUUGAAAUCUGUCGAGUAAUUCUUGAGAUAUGGUUUUUGACCCAUAAGUGGGCGACGCCACGCCCAUUUUCCAUUUUGUAAAAAAAUCUCAGUGCAGCUUCCUUCUGCCAUUUCUUAUGUAAAAUUUGGUGUUUCUGACGUUUCUCGUUAGUGAGUUAACGCAAUUUUAGUCAUUUUCAACCUAACCUUUGUAUGAGAGGUGGGCGUAUAAGGAAAGGGGUAAAAGAAACGACUGCAAAAAGUUUGGUUUAUAUAGCUUUAUUGGUUUGCAAGAUAUAUACAAAAAAAACCUAUUUGGGGGCGAGGUCAUGCCCACUUUUCCAAGAGAAAUACAUUCAAAUGUGCCCCUCCCAAAUGUGAUCCUAUGUUCCAAAUUUUAUUUUCAUAACUUUAUUUAUGGCUUAGUUAUAGCUCUUUAUGUGUUUUUGGUUGUCGUAAUUUUGUGGCAGUGGUCCGAUUCCGCCCAUCUUCGAACUUAACCUUCUUAUGGUGCCAAGGAACACGUGUUCCAAGUUUAAUUAAGAUAUCUCAAUUUUUACUCAAGUUACAGCUUGCACGGACGGACAGACGGACGGACAGACAGACAUCCGGAUUUGAACUUGACUCGUCACCCUGAUCACUUUGGUAUAUAUAACCCUAUAUCUAACUCGUUUAGUUUUAGGACUUACAAACAACCGUUAUGUGGACAAAACUAUAAUACUCUCCUGGCAAAUUUUGUUGCGAGAGUAUCAAAAAACUUUAGUUUAUUUUAAAAUAGCUAAUGCAAUAUAUUUCUCCAGCAUUCUGUAUGGUAUGGUAUGGUAUAUACAAAUGUUAAAACAUAAGUGCUGAACACAAAGACGACGACACGACACGACGUAGCGACGGCUGACCACAAAUGUCGCUUCGAAGCCAGCGUCUUGAACAUUUUGAAGACGGCUGCGACAUAUCAAACAGCAAUUUCAUUGUUGCCGUACUUUCACUUCAAUAAAAUUUACAUAUUUAGUUUAAAGUGAAAUUAUUUACGCAAAAAAUGUAAAAAUUGGCGAUUUAUUUGUUUUAAAUAAUCGAUUGUUAUUAUAAAUGAUAUAUCAAAGCUAUUUUACGUUUCUGCUGGCAAAAGAACGUCAUAGUUGUGAGAACUUUGAAUAAUUUUACAUUUCACAAGUUAGUGGCAGCUCUACAGCGGCCAUUGUCGUCGGCAAAAUUAGAAACAUUUCUAAGUUGGUGACAACGACAACUACAAGCCUAUUGUCGCGUAGUCGUGCUGUUGUCAAAAAAUCAGUGCCCAUAAGAACGCGUGUAUUUUAAUAUUUGACAGAUGUUGCUCGUCGCUUGUCGUCUUCUAUGUGUACAGCACAAUAGCUAAUAAAGCCCAAAACAGCAGUUCAUGUAAAGAGAAACACUUUAAGAAAUUUGUUUCUCAGUAUUUACAGAAUGAAGAUGUGCUUAUGAUUGGGAGUCUUGAUAUACUAGCAUUUCUAGAUGAAAUGCCAUCUAGCUCCAGCUCGUAAUCUUCAUUAAGCUCUGAGGAAUCGGAUAGGGAGGAAACCAAUAAAUAACAAAACUAUUGUCAUUGAAGGCUAUGACGAAAAUGAAUUCAAAUCGCACAUGAGAUUGCGGCGUUCGACCGUGGAAUAUUUAAUAGAGAAAUAUACAAAUAGCAUUGAGCCCAAAGCAAAUACUGGUGGAAGAGAAAUUGUACCACCUUGAAAAAAGUUGUUUAUUUAUAUUUGGUACAUGAGUAACACCGUCACUCUUCGGCAGCUUGGUAGUGUCUUCUUCAACUGCUUGGACUAAGUAGCAUUUUAGUAGCCCCUUGGUUUCUACCACAGUCCAUAUCUCACGUUUCCUGCAAUAAAUUUAAUUUUUAUUAAAGUUUUUUAAUCAAUAAAUUCAAUGCAAAAAU